rnacentral:rRNA from 1 species
UACGUAGGGGGCAAGCGUUGUCCGGAUUUAUUGGGCGUAAAGAGCGUGUAGGCGGCUGGGUAGGUCCGUUGUGAAAACUCGAGGCUCAACCUCGAGACGCCGGUGGAAACUGUCGGGCUAGAGUCCGGAAGAGGCGAGUGGAAUUCCUGGUGUAGCGGUGAAAUGCGCAGAUAUCAGGAGGAACACCAAUGGCGAAGGCAGCUCGCUGGGACGUGACUGACGCUGAGACGCGAAAGCGUGGGGAGCAAACAGG